UGGACUUCAUCCCACUAUCUUAUGCUGAAGGAAAAAGAGCUACAAAGAAUAAUGAUCCAUGAAUUCUACAGAGGGACACAGUUCCUUGGCUGGACUGCUUUUCCUAUGAGGCAUGUGCAGUCAUCUAACUGCUGUGAGUCAGCUGAAUGUGGUGGAAGCAUAUAUUGUGGGAUGUGCCAUGCUUACCAUGGAAUACAGUGAGCAAAGGAGAGCAAAUAUGAGGGGAGCACAGGUCCCCGAACUGCAGGCACAGGUAAAUGAAGAACAAUGAAGAACUGUUGGAAUGAUUCACCUAAUAAGGGGGAAGAGUGGUUCCAUACUCUCAGGUUGUUUCACGUCUGCUUACAUUAUUCAGAAACAUUUUACAUCUUCACCUUCUAAAUAAGCUGAAGCGGUAU